AAACAGAGAGACAGAGACAGAGAGAGGGAGAGGCAGAGAGAGAGAGACAGACAGACAGACAGAGACAGAGAAAGACAUAGAGAACAAGGGAGACAGAGAAAAGGAGAGGAGAAACAGAGACAGAGAGAGGGGGAGGAAGGGAGGGAGACAGAGAGAGAUGUGGAGAAAGAGGCAGAGAGACAGAGACUGACAGAGAGAGAGGGAGAGGGACAGGGAGAAAGACAGAGACAGAGAAAGACACAGAUAACAAGGGACACAGAGAGAGGGAGAAGGAGAAACAGAGACAGACAGAGAGAGGGGGAGGGAUGGAGGGAGAGAGAGAAGGUGGGAGAGAGAGAGGGAGGGAGAGCCAGAGAGAUAGAGAUGUGGAGUAAGACAGACAGAUUGACAGAGAGAGGGAGAGAGAGAGAGAAAGAAAGAAAGAAAGAAAGAAAGAAAGAAGGAAAGACAGAAAGAAAGAAAGAAAAAGAAAGAAGGAAAGACAGAAAGAAAGAAAGAAAAAGAAAGAAGGAAAGACAGAAAGAAAGAAAGAAAGAAAGAAAGAAAGAAAGAGAGGAGAGGGAAACGGAGAGAUAGAGAUGUAGAGAAAGAGACAGAGAGACAGAGACUGACAGAGAGAGAGAAAAAAAGAGAGGGAGGGAGAGACCCACAGAAACAGAGGAGGGAUGGAGAGAAUGGUUUUAAUCAGGUAAAGAAAGUACUUGCCUACCCCCUGUAGUGAAUAUUAGCAUCACUUACCACUUUCCUUUAAAAUGCUAAUUAAUGUAUUAGCCAUUGCUUUAAGCAGCCCACUGGGGCAGCCACAGCAGUGUCCAGAACACUAUUACCCCAGGGGUCCGAGGAAAUCCAAAGGACACUCACCCCGGAGCUGGAGGUUAAUAGGAUGGAGCAGGCACUCAAAAUUACUCCGGUGUCCCGGUGAUCCUCCCCCCAUCCCCUGCCAGAGGCUGCUGACCUCUCUGAUGGAAAGACCAUGGGUAAAGAAAAACUAAGCCCCACCACAGCCAUUCCGGAGGAAGGUUCCUGAUUUAAGACUAGGCCAGGAAAAGGGGGCUUUCUUGGCAGAGCUGAGCCGUUCCUGGGCAGAGGGCUGUUGAGGUGACUUUUUCCUUUCCCUGCUGCGGUUGCCCAGAGCGGUGCUGGCCCACUGUACAAAAUGGAUAACUCCAAUUUAGUGAACUGUAGCAAACGCCAAGCAAUUCUGAAUUUCUGGUUUCUUUGGACCAUUUCAUGCUAUUGAUUUGUCUACUAUUCUUUAUUUUUGGCCUCUGGUGUGGGUUUGUCUUCCCCCUAACCCUCUGCCAUGCGCCUGGCCUGGCUAGCUGAGUUUUGGUUCGGAACUAGUUCCUUUUCAGGCUCAGCUCUCUGAACCCGAUCAGUUCCCGCCCGGUUGGUGUCCCCUUGCUAAAGCAGAGGAUCGAAGUCUGUUUGUUGCUGUAUUUGACCGCCUGGGACUGUGGUGAAUUCAGAUCACAGCAUGGAAGGACACUCCAAUCAGUGGUGAAAUUUGCUAAGGAGCAGUCCCCCCCCCCCUCCUUCCUGCCCUCCCCCCCCCAACCCCCAUCAAAUUGACUAG
ensembl:lncRNA